rnacentral:rRNA from 1 species
UACGUAGGGUGCGAGCGUUAAUCGGAAUUACUGGGCGUAAAGCGUGCGCAGGCGGCGCGUUAAGACAGGUGUGAAAGCCCCGAGCUUAACUUGGGAAUUGCGCUUGUGACUGGCGUGCUGGAGUGUGGCAGAGGGAGGUGGAAUUCCACGUGUAGCAGUGAAAUGCGUAGAGAUGUGGAGGAACACCGAUGGCGAAGGCAGCCUCCUGGGCCAGCACUGACGCUCAUGCACGAAAAGCGUGGGGAGCAAACAGG